ensembl:lncRNA
GAAGCUCUUCCAUGGAAACGGGACGCCAGGCUGCUCUCUGUCCCAGGGAGUAAACUAAAUGAGUUAAAACUGCUUGCACUAUAAAACAUUUGCUGUUUUAUUAUUGUAUUUAAUGGCAGACGUUAGCGGAAGCUCUAAACGUUUGUAGCUAGCAUGGCUAACAUGGCAUUAGUCGCCAGCAAGCUAACACUGGUAAAACAAAUAUGACCAAGCUAUUGCUAGAGUGCUUUGUAAGAAAGUAAUAUAACGUGCUAAAGGAUUUCAAGUAAGCAGGCAUAGUUUGAAAAGGUGGAAAAUGUGGAGAGGAGGAGGAGGAGGCCGAAGCUCUGCUCUGGAACGAGCAGAGCAGGCGCUGCUGUCAGCCAGGAGCAGGAGAGGAGACGCGCAGGCCUCCACAACCAAAACUCAGGUCUGCUUACAGGGUGUUUCAUCCCUCCACCAUGUUGCAACGAGUCGCUGUGUGUUUGCCAAAAUGUGAAACAAGAGUUCAGAUUCUUUAAAAAAAAAUGAGUAGAGGUCCUGCCUUUUCAUGUAUAAUAGUAUCAGGUACAAUUGUUAAGUUAAUGCAGUUGUAUUGUCACAAUUGUGCUUCUUUCUAGAGUUCUGUGGAUUCUGCUGGAUCUCUCAAACCUAGAUCUGCUCCCCCAAACACACACGCUUUAAUGUAUGACCUGAGUGACCUGUCCUCGGUCAGUUCAGCCUCUGAACCUAGAGGUCAUGCUGGCAGGUCUGUUAAUCCUGAAAAUGGCUACGAGAGAGGGGAUUCGAACAAGGAUGCCAGGCCUCAGAGUUCUCUGGGAGGAAGGAGCAGGUUCCUGAAGAAGGCUCCACCACCAACGACCAGCAGCCAGUCUCCAGUCAGCAGCAACCAAGUACAUGAACCAAGGUAUUUUUCUGUGGAUGUAGAAGAAACAUCGUUGAUCGGAAUUUAUGAAUAUAAUGCAUAUAUUGUAAUCCCUCUUUUCAGCUAUGUUUCAUCUUCCCAGCGGGGCUCCAGCCAGACCACAGCCUUAAGUAGACUUGCUGAAAUUGAGAGCCGCAUCCACAGCCGUAAGCAGGCCCAGGAACAGGUCAGACAAGGGACAAAACCUGCUUAUGAUUUCAACACGGACACAAGACUCUCACCACCUCCACUAGCCCCUACAAACCUACCUACAAAGUCCAGCAGUGACCAGAGCCCGAGGGAAAAUCGUUUUCUCAAGAAGAAAACCACUAGUGCUAUUGAAGGCACUAAUGCUGCUUCUGCUGCUCCGAAAAGUGCAGACGUAAGCGUCAGGUCCAGAGCUUGCAAUGCUGUAGACUUAUCAAGGGAGACAAAAUCCCUGAGAAUAAUGAACACUGUGAGUUUGGAAAGUGACGAAGAGGACAUGAGGAAACUCUUAGGAGACUCAUUUGAUUCAACAGGCUGCAGCCUCAUAAGACCUGAGAAACCCUCGUCUAUGAAGAAGCCAAAGAAGAAGUUUAGCAAAAGCAGUCAGCGUGUUCCCUCCACGCCUCCUCCUGCUGCUGUCCGUCCUCCAUCACCUUCCGUCAUGGCACCGCCUCACUCCCCCAGUUCUCCUUCUCGCCGCAGUUCUCCUUUUCGAUUCACCGGCCUGGCUCAGGCCCACUUCAGCCCCUCCAUGCUCUCUCCAGCACCCUCUCUUCCUGGUGUUUCCCCUACUCCUCCUCUGGAAGGACCUGGUUCCUCUCCUAGGGUGGAGAGUCCCGGGAGCUCCAUCUCCUCCGUGUCAGGCCGUGGUGAAGUGCUCUCUUUGGAGGAACUCUUCCCUGUGGGCCCUAUCUCUGAAGAUCUGCACAGUGAGAUGAGCUCAGUAUCUGAAGGUAUGAGGCAAGCAAUCUAAUGCUAUGUAAGAGCCCGAUCUAGUCAUCA